rnacentral:tRNA from 1 species
GUAAGUAUAGUUUACCCAAAACACUAGACUGUGACUCUAGAAACAGAAGCUUUUAUCUUCUUAUUUACC